UCUGUAGGUGGUUUAAUAAGUCAACUGUUAAAUCUUGAGGCUCAACCUCAAAAUCGCAGUCGAAACUAUUAGACUAGAGUAUAGUAGGGGUAAAGGGAAUUUCCAGUGGAGCGGUGAAAUGCGUAGAUAUUGGAAGGAACACCGAUGGCGAAGGCACUUUACUGGGCUAUUACUAACACUCAGAGACGAAAGCUAGGGUAGCAAAU
rnacentral:rRNA from 1 species